rnacentral:rRNA from 1 species
UACAGAGACUGCAAGCGUUAUUCGGAUUCACUGGGCGUAAAGGGUGCGCAGGCGGUCGUGUGGGUCAGAUGUGAAAUCCCGGAGCUUAACUCCGGAACUGCGUCUGAAACUACACGACUAGAGCAUUGGAGAGGGAAGUGGAAUUCAUGGUGUAGCAGUGAAAUGCGUAGAUAUCAUGAGGAACACCAGAGGCGAAGGCGACUUCCUGGACAAUUGCUGACGCUCAGGCACGAAAGCAUGGGGAGCAAAAGGG